UCUUUCUUUUUAAUCACCAAACAAGGGCCUAUGCAGUAUUUAACCGAAAACUAAAUUUUGUAUACAACAUUGAGAUUUGUUUAAUAAAAAGUACAAAGAGGUAUUGGGUGCAGGGCCGUGGAAGAGAUUCAAGAAAGUGAGCCAUCCAAGAGGUUAAGCUUCCCUAUCUGGGCAAGGCUGACCAGGUCUUUGAAUUUCUACAAGACAGCUGUGGAUUAUCUGUGACACGGUGAAGAAGAAGGGACUCCCGUUGGUCCUAACACUUUCUGGGGAUCACUCGAGGGAAGCUUCAAAUAAAAGUCAACAAUCUACUUGGGGGUCAGUAUAGCAGGAAAACAUGACCAGCUUGCCUGAUUUUCCUCCUGCUGUAUUGUCAGUGGAGUUGCUGACUGAUUGCUAUGCAGUUGUAUUUCUGGGAAUAUUCAUCAAGAGCCUUUCCUGGGGCAGCGUGCAUCCUACUCAGUGCUGACCCAGACCACCGCAGCAGAGGCAGCUGGGCAGUCUCAGAAGUUGGCAUGUUUUCCCCCGCUCAGUUUCCAACCAUAUGUCUCUCUCCACACUUUAGCACGGGCCCUGCAGUGUGUGUGGGAACCGUCUAAUCGGCGGCGGCAGCCUACGCUGAGGAGGCAGCUCUUGAGAUAAUCAGAUAUGUUUCUUGUGAGGCUCUGUGGAUUUUACCGUGUCCCUCUACAGAACCAGAGCCUCUGAUCAUUACCAUGGUGAUCAAUUUGUCUCCUGGGAAGUAGCCAGAGACCAUCACACUGAUUCUAUGCAGGCCAUUAGGUAACACUGAGACUCUUGGAAGGAAUUGCGUUUUUGUAUGAAAAGAAUCCCCAUGGACGACCAGAGCUAGGCUUAAUUGGCCUGUGUACUUAAUACUUGAUGGAGAGGCAACACCGGGCCUAGGGAAACAGUCACCCAAGUGAACAGAGUGAUGGGUUAGUUAUAUUCCAUCCAUUGCUUCUUUCUUCCCUUUAUAGGUAUUUAGCAGGGAGGAGAUGAAUCUCUGUGUUUUAGAGCCAGAAACCAUAGGCUAUUUUUAAGUAAUGGGUUUGCAGAUAACAAAUAGUUGGGAAAGUUUCAGAGUGCAGGAUGCAUUUAGGUCUUCAUUGACAGAUGCCUGAAACGUAGCUGUUGCUUCUUAGAGACCAAUUACUAGGCCUUGGCCCAGGUGGAGAACACAUCUAUGCUCGCUCCUUCCCCAGUUCUGGCUGGGAUUUUGGCAUAGGCAAACCAACCAUUCUUGGGCUCUUUUCUGAACCUUAGGAGCCCCCGUCUUAUGUUAGCUGGCAUUUUCUAAUGAGUGCUGUUCAGAACCAGGAAGUCUUUGUUGGGUUCCAACUUUGUAGGCCCCUCCUUUGGCUGUUAAUGUUGGCUGCGGGUGAAUGCUCAGACCUUUAAUGAGAGUUCCUGUGGUGCUACAGGUUUGUCCAAUAGGUUGAGUUUUUAUAACCUGAAGCUUGGGCAAGGCUAUGCUGUCUUUACAAACCUUGAAACAAAGUGGUUACCGUAUCUAACCCUGAGGUCAUUAGAAAAGGGUGUAGACUAAUUUGAAAGUUCUUUGUUAGAUCAAACAAAUAUGGUUACAGGCUUCUUGGAUUUCUUUCACCUGCUGCUUCUUCCUGUUUGGGUAUUGACUUCAGUGUACACUGAGAUAGAUAAUUUUCCACAGCCCGACUAUGCUAACUCCUACAUCCAAGUGCGAUCUAAAUUCCUGUGAUUUCUAUGCCUAGAGAAUAGGCAUUCUGGAUUAUUCUAAUCUGAAAGCUAAAAACUGUGUUCUCUUUCGAACGUAUGUUUUCCAGAGUCAACUCAAUCUUCCUUCUCUGGAAAGUAUUCAGGGCUCGUUUUUGCUGGCCAACUCUUCCCAUAAGCUCUCCCACAAUUCCAUUUCUCUCCAUGGCAUGCAAAGAAUUUUCCAGAGUUAGUGACUGUUUAACCCACAUCCCUCUGUCUUUGUUUCUUUCCCACCCAUCUCUAGCAGUGUACUAAUAUCCUACAUGCCUUCCUAGAGAUGAGAGUGAAAUUUUCUUUACCAUAAUUCAGUUAAACUCUGUAGCUACUUUCCUUCGUGUUACCUUGAAAAUUAACGUUUCAGUUUAUUUGCCAAGAUGGACUCUAUCAGAUAGCUACUGAAGGAUACACUGAACACCACUUCUGAUUAUUGUCCUCAUUCGUAUUUCUAUCCUAGAUGAUCUUUGUCUCCCUAACAAAACUUGUGCACUCUAUGGGUAAGGGAACGAACGACGUGGCAGGAAGAAAGCAGAAGUGUGAUAUUAUUGCAUAACCGCAAAACCGUAAUGGCAGAAACAGACAGAACAUACCAGACAUGUGAUCUUAACACUUCCUGGAUGCUUCUGGGAUUCAAACAGGCAGAACAUACCAUUCACGUGAGCCCAGCAUUUCCUGGAAAUGCUUCUGGAAAGUGAUGGUGAUGGUUUCUGACAACUGGUUAGCACAUCGCACCUGCUUGAAAUAUGCUUGAGAAACUAUCUAGUUUCAGUCUUCAAAGUCCUUUGAACCUUUGAAUUACUGUUCCUUUCACAUCAUGUAGGAACUUCAUAUUUUAAUAUUACAUCCAUAAGGUCCUAUUCUUUUUAAAGGCCAAACUUUCUUCAGUCUCCCCCACCUUUUUCUUUUCUAGACAGAAAUUCUAUUUCAUAUUCUUUUCUCCAUAGCUGCAAUACUUCCUGAAAAGACCCCCCCCCCAAUCCAGCAACAUCCCUCAAUCACUUUCUGGUUGCCAUGACAUCGUCUUUUGGUGCAGAAACUAAGUAACCAAGGAGGAAAAUUCUUGACUCAUUAAUCAUUUGCUUGAUAUGUACGUCAAUUGGACCUGGAGCAGUUAAUCAUGAGACAGAUAUCCAUUAGAGCAGGGCAGUGAUGUGGACAGUGGUCACCAAUGACUCAUCUCUAAAUGGGGAACUUCUGUGGAUCAUUAUUUACUUUUCAAAUAAAGGUUAACCACUGGGUCUAUGUCAAAUCAUUGUAGAGUGAAGGUCCAGAGAGUAACUUCACAGAUCAAAUGGUUAAUCAAUCUCAUUUAAAAAAAUAGUUUAUGGUGGUUCUAGGCCUCAGUACUAUUCAGUCAGAUAUAUUUUGCAUAGCUUCUUUUCUAUUUCUUUCCCAGAGAAUUCUGCAUUGUGGUUUCAAAUGACACUGAAAUUUUCAUUAAAGUGCAUUUAAGUCUGUUUUACAUCUUAUGAGUCUCUACCUUAUGAAAAUUUCAUCACUUUUUAAAGUUAAUACCAUUAAUCUUCCAAGUCAUCCCUUGAUCUUCAUAGGAGAUAUGAACUAAUAUUAUGAGUUCUCUGUGAAGAAAUACAUUUCUAUCUGUUUAAACUCCUUGGUAACUUCUAAUAAAGUGUGCUUAAAUGUUAUAACAUUGAAAUACACCUCAUUUUCUUUUUUAGAAAAAGUAUAUUAACAUCAAGACUUUAUUAAGUUUCAAUGGGUUUAAACAUUGUAUGUAAAAUAAAAACAAGCUUCGGAAAAAUAAUUGGAAGGUAUAGAGUUGAGGUAGGGAUAGGGUUAAUGGAGGAGAGGCCAGCUAAAGAGAUCCAGAGGUUUACAUCAAUCAAAAAAGGGAACACUGGAGAUAAUGAACGUUGAUGUCCAACAGAAACGUCCAGAUGGGUUGAUCAUGUCAGUGCUAGGCUGUGUGACUUUGGACAGGUGAGCUAAGGGCUUAGAGUGGUUCUUUGUUAAAUCCAAGGAUGUGGAAAUGUGUUAGUCUUCAUUGAAUUCUGAAGAGUAAACAGAUAGAAUGCAGUAACCACAUGCUUACCUCAUAGUAUGUGCUAAGUAUGUCCUUUGAUGGGCUAUUAGUCAUUUUCUUCUUCUGUUCAUGUUUAAAAUCUAGAAGAAUGGUAUGGAGUUGUUCAGAAUGUACUAAUGUUGAAGAUGCAGAUGCACCUCAGGGUGCUCCUGCACAUGAGAAAUUCAAGACAGCGCAAAGCAGCCUGAGCUAUAAAGGAAGCAAUAUUUUAUGUAGCCUAAGUGAAACUUAAGUCACAUCUUGAUUAGACCUGCAUGGAGAAGCUGUAGAGUAAAUUAGAAAAGUUUGUCUUUCUCAAGUCAGGAAGUGUCACCAGGGUCAAUAUUAGGAAAGAUCAGUAACUAAUCACGGUCUCAUAAAUGGGGCACCAUUUCUUGGUAACAAUGGUCCCGACUUUCAGAGGCAGCAUCUACAAAAGCAUACCAGCGUGUGCAGAAAUAGUCCAGAAAAUUCAAAUUCUAAUAAGAAUUUUUUUAAAUGAGAGAUUCGUUAAAUAGUAAGAGGACACUUCUCUCAAGACCCAGCUUCAGGGUUCGGUGUUAGCGCGCUUUUAGCAGCCGGAGGGCUGUGGUGGUCAGACGGGUUGCAGAACAGGCUAGGUACAAUCUCAAAAGACAGCGGACAGUGGCUGACAAGGGUUUCGUUUGGCUUGAACACUGUGCCUGGUUGGUUCCCACGGUGUUUACAGCUGCUUAGAGAUUCACAGGCCCCCACGUGCGUUUGGCCUUUACUCUCUGUCUGUCAUUUUCUUUUGUGUGAGAUUCUUCACUUAGUCCCCAACUCUGUCCUGUGCUUGAUCUGCUGGUCAGUAUGUGCUGAGAAUGAGAGUCAGCCUUUGCAAUGCCGAGAGGCUGUUCAUUUAUUAUAGGAAUACCCUUGAGAUUCAAUUCUAUUGUUCAGACUCAA
rnacentral:sRNA from 1 species